UACAGAGGGUGCGAGCGUUAAUCGGAAUUACUGGGCGUAAAGGGCGCGUAGGCGGUUUAUCAAGUGAGAUGUGAAAUCCCCGGGCUUAACCUGGGAACUGCAUCUUAAACUGGUAAGCUGGAGUACUGUAGAGGACAGUGGAAUUUCCGGUGUAGCGGUGAAAUGUGUAGAGAUCGGGAGGAACACCGGUGGCGAAGGCGGGUCUCUGGGCAAUUCCUGACGCUGAGGCGCGAAAGCGUGGGGAGCAAACGGG
rnacentral:rRNA from 1 species